rnacentral:tRNA from 1 species
GUAGGGAUAGUGUAACGGUAACAUCCUAGUCUCCAAAACUAGAAUUUGAGGUUCAAAUCCUUAUCCCUACG